GCCUCCAUAGCUCAGGGGUUAGAGCACCAGUCUAGUAAACUGGGGGUCGAGAGUUCGAUUCUCUCUGGAGGCA
rnacentral:tRNA from 1 species